UCUUAGGGUUAAACAAUUUUCCCCAAUUCGAUGCCAAAGCUGAGAAUCUCAGCCUGAGAUCCUCUCUUUCUUGCCUUGUAUGUUCGAUCGGUUUGAUUCCGUGACGAAGCUCGCUCUUCGCUGUGAUCGGAGGUCUUUUAGCUUGAGGAUGAAGCUUUGGUUAUGACCUUGGUUCGUUGCUCGAAUCUGACUUGAGUCAAGCUUCGUGGUUGUCGCGACAUUACAGAUCUAGGUGCUAGAACCGCUUCUGGAGUACAUGAUUCAAGAUCUGAAGGUUCAAGUGUGCCAUGAGUCAUGGUGUUAACGGCGGAAGAUGAUAAGAAAGUUUGAAGCUUUUGUCAUAGAAUAUUUGUUAUUUGAAGCUUUUGUCAUAGAAUAUUCUCAUUUUCCAUUUGUUUCAAAAACAUAACAUAUGUUUCAGAUUUGUAUCGUGCUACUUAGCUUAUCAAAAACAUAGACAAUAUCAAGUAAAACAUGUGUUCAAAGAGAGAAUAUAGUUAAAUGGGUUCAAUAGGUUAAAUAGGGCCAUGUAUAUUUAAGUGGGUAUAGUUAAAUGGGUUUCAAAUAUAUAUUAGCUUAAAUGGGUUUAUACUUUUAAAUGGGGUGGGAUUAAAUGAGAUGGGUUUAAAUGGGGUGGGUUUACCCAAAUUAACAUCCCUACGUGUGAUGUAUGCAAGUGAAGGUCCUCCAUACCUGAAAGACGGUGAUGUGAAGGCAAUAUACAUCUGCUUAUAAUAAUUAUCUCACAUGUUUAUAAUACUCACAUCAACUUUCUUUUACAGGGUACAAAAAUCCAUGGUUUCUUUUAAAAAAAAAUAUCUAAAACAUUUUGAAAAUGUUAUUUUCUAGGACAAUGGAGAAUGCUGCUGGUGUAAGCUUCAUGUGAAAAGUAUGGAUGGAACUGGUCAGAUGAUAUUGAUGCUUUUCGACAAUAUGGCUUAAGAGAUUGUUGGCUCCCCUGUAAACGAUCUUCUACAUAGAUCGUUUAAGCUUUCAACGGGUCAUUUGAAGAGCUAUUGGCCGAAGAAUCAAGUGAGAGUCUGAGGAAGAAGACCCAUGAUGUAAGAUGCUGACACCAAAAACAAUUAUUCAUACAUCAAAUUGAAUCGAAGCGGCUUGUUGAAAACAAACUCUCCUCUGAAAUUUCAAAGUUUAACUAUAGUAAUAGAGAGAUAUACAUAGAGGAAGAGAAGAUAUACAGAAAGAGUCCCUCUUCUUCCAUUGAGAGAUGAAGCUUUGUGAUCAGAUGAUACUAAGAUUUUGGGGAGAGAAUUAUAGCCUAAUUCGUCGUCAAGAACGAAUUUUAAAGAUAUCUUAAUAAAUAAAGUUAAUUUUAUUUUCUU